GUGUGAACAGCUUUGCCUGGAGCACCUGUCUUUUCUUGUGCCCUGUCUAGGUGGUGACUGGGUAGAAGUGCUUGCCGUUUCCAUACUAGAAACUCACAACAAACGCAAGUCCCCGCCCCCACCCGGCUGAGACUACCAGUGGAGUUCUAGCACGUCUGGAAUAUUUGUGCAAGGCCAUUCCCUAAGGGUCACUUUCCCCUAAUCUGGAGGCAGCUCGCACUGAAAGUCUGGAAGGAACCGGGCAGCAUCGUGCCUACUGCAAGACGCAAAGGUACCAGCCACGCGCAAUCCUCGGGGUCUCCGCAAGGACCAGAGCUCGGUAAAGUGGCCGGAAGCUUUCGGCUCUUUUAAAGAAACAGCCACGCGGGGCGUUGGUGGUAAUCCCAGCACUCCGGAGGCAGAGGCAGGCGGAUCUCUGUGAGUUCGAGACCAGCCUGGUCUACAAGAGCUAGUUCCAGGACAGCCUCCAAAGCCACAGGGAAACCCUGUCUCGAAAAAAAAAAAGAAAAGAAAGAAACAGCCACACCUUCCCAGCAGCCUAAACAUGCUGUAUUCUGAUUUUAGCCUCCAUUAGUUUUCCUUGAACAUCUGCCAUCGGAAAGCACCCACCACCCACGCCCACGCGCGAAGUCCCACCCACCAGAGAACCAUAGACCCCUCCCUCAGCCCAGAAGCGCCCGACCCUGAAGCCCCGCCCAGUCACCCAUCCCGGAAGCUGCGCGCGCAGCGCAGAAGCACGUUCAGCAGUUGGGGUUGAGUGCGCGGCAGGUGCAGGCACUACGGAAGAAGCGACACUGGCAGGAGGCGCACGGGUCGCAACAGGCGGGCGCAGGCGGCUUGCAGCUGUCUCGGGUGGCCACGCAGGGCGUGGGUGGCGGGGGCCGCGCCACCUUCUUCAUCGAAGCCUUUUUCUGUAGGAAAGACAUCGAGGGCUGCUGAGUGUGCCGCGCUGGUCCCGCGCCACCUCAUUUGCUGAGACCCCUGCCAUGGUGCCCACGUCUACUCACAACGUCCCUGGCCGCUACCCCAACCUGCACACCGCCUUCAUCUUCAAGCUUACCUAGAUCCGACCUGGCCUUUUUCUUAGGAGAUCCCGCUGUAAUUUUGCUACUGUUGUGAAUUAUGGUGGAAAUACCAUAUUAAGAACCGCUACUGUAGAUUACUAGAUUUUUUCAUUUAAAUGCACUUAGGCCUUCACCGUGCUUUAAUUUCUUCACAGUGUGUAUGAUCUAAAAAUUUAAACUUGUUUAUUAAUUUACUUGCGGCCUGGUUUCCCACUUCUGUGUUCCCAGCACCUAGCACAUACUUAUAUAUUUUGUUCUGUCUUCCCUGCCCUGGUUACAGUUGAUCCAAUUAGCUGAGGCACAAAAACAGGAAUAGCGUGUGAAUUUCAACAAUGCCUCAAUCUGGUAUUUAUCAAAGUGCGGGGACCUGUAUCAUGGCAGUAUGGCAGUAUGGUGGUAGGUACGAAAACGUUAAAUAGUCCUUAACCACUUAGUGAGACGGCAUUCUUUUUUCUGUCUGUCUUAGCUUUGAAAGGCUCUGUUUGGUGCUGACAUGUCCUUAAUUGCUUUCCAACACAUUUUUCCCCCUGGGGGAGGGAGCGCAGUCACUGCUUUUUUGUCCUUAUUUUACAUACUUAGUAUAUUUAAUGAAUGCAUUUGUUAGUAAACAAGACCAAUGUUUUAGGAAAGUAGUAAAGCACAGAUAUAUAUUUCAUUCUCACAAGAAAAUAGACCAUUUUGGGGUCUGUAGAACAGUGUUCUCCAAAUUGCUUGUCCCUUCAAGCAUUUUCCUGUCUGACUUGCUAGAUUGAUCUAGACUGCUUGUUGGAAGUAACAAUUGCCAGCUCUAAUUCUAGCUCUAAUUUUGGUCUGGUAUGGCACAUGUACUUUAGGUCUAACUGCCUUUUAACAAAGCAAGCUUUAGAGCCUUUGCAGGUAAUAGUACCCAGCUGGUGGGAAUUAAACUCAGGUCUUUGUUUGCUACA